CGUAUCCAACCUUCCCAUGACCAGGGAAUAACCUUGCGAAAGUAAGACUAAUGCCCUAUGGUUCCUUUGCGGACAUCCAACUAGGAAUAAAGAUUCAUCGGUCAUGGAUGGGGAUGCGUCUGAUUAGGUUGUUGGCGGGGUAACGGCCCACCAAGCCAUCGAUCAGUAGGGGUUCUGAGAGGAAGGUCCCCCACAUUGGAACUGAGACACGGUCCAAACUCCUACGGGAGGCAGCAGUGAGGAAUAUUGGUCAAUGGGCGAGAGCCUGAACCAGCCAAGUAGCGUGCAGGACGACGGCCCUAUGGGUUGUAAACUGCUUUUAUACGGGAAUAAAGUGGGCCACGCGUGGUCUUUUGCAUGUACCGUAUGAAUAAGGACCGGCUAAUUCCGUG
rnacentral:rRNA from 1 species